rnacentral:rRNA from 1 species
CGGGUGAGUAAUGCGUGACCAACCUGCCCCAUGCUCCAGAAUAGCUCUUGGAAACGGGUGGUAAUGCUGGAUGCUCCAACUUGACGCAUGUCUUGUUGGGAAAGUGUUUAGUGGCAUGGGAUGGGGUCGCGUCCUAUCAGCUUGUAGGCGGGGUAAUGGCCCACCUAGGCUUCGACGGGUAGCCGGCCUGAGAGGGCGGACGGCCACAUUGGGACUGAGAUACGGACCAGACUCCUACGGGAGGCAGCAGAC